GAUGUACUCCCUCCGUCUGAAAAAACUUGUCCCUCAAAUGGGUGUAUCUAGCACCAAGUUAGUGCUAGAUACAUCCAUUUGACGAACAAGUUUGGGACAAGUUUUUUCGGACGGAGGGAGUACAUU
rfam:Triticum urartu cultivar G1812 contig557289, whole genome shotgun sequence.